AAUUAAUGAAGAGUUUGAUCCUGGCUCAGAACGAACGCUGGUGGCGUGUCUUAUACAUGCA
rnacentral:rRNA from 1 species